rnacentral:tRNA from 1 species
GCACCGGUGGUCUAACGGUUAUGACUUCGGCCUUCCAAGCCGACUAUCCGGGUUCGAAAGAGAUUUUCGCAGAAAAUCCCGGCCGGUGCA